rnacentral:rRNA from 1 species
AACGUAGGUACCGAGCGUUAUCCGGAUUUACUGGGCGUAAAGCGCGUUCAGGCGGUUUGGCAAGUCGGGCAUGAAAUCUCUCGGCUCAACCGGGAGAGGUUGUCCGAUACUUCCAGACUUGAGGGCAGUAGAGGGUGGUGGAAUUCCGGGUGUAGUGGUGAAAUGCGUAGAGAUUAGGAGGAAUAUCGAUGGCGAAGGCAGCUAACUGGGACAUUUCUGACGCUGAGAAACGAAAGCGUGGGUAGCAAACAGG